GACGAACGCUGGCGGCGUGCUUAACACAUGCAAGUCGAACGGUGAAGCGCCUUCCUUUUUGGUGGGUGUGGAUGAGUGGCGAACGGGUGAGUAACACGUGAGUAACCUGCCCCCUUCUUCUGGAUAACCGCAUGAAAGUGUGGCUAAUACGGGAUAUUCUGGGUCUGUCGCAUGAUGGGUCUGGGAAAGAUAUUGUUUCGGUGGGGGAUGGGCUCGCGGCCUAUCAGCUUGUUGGUGGGGUGAUGGCCUACCAAGGCGGUGACGGGUAGCCGGCCUGAGAGGGUGGACGGUCACACUGGGACUGAGCCCCGGCCCAGACUCCUACGGGAGGCAGCAGUGGGGAAUAUUGCACAAUGGGCGCAAGCCUGAUGCAGCGACGCCGCGUGAGGGAUGGAGGCCUGCGGGUUGUGAACCUCUUUCGCCAGUGAAGCAGGCCUGCCUCGUUUGUGGGUGGGUUGACGGUAGCUGGAUAAGAAGCGCCGGCUAACUACGUG
rnacentral:rRNA from 1 species